AAUGGAUGAUGACAAAAUGUUUCGGUCCCAAAUGAUUGGUUCUGAUUAUACCGUCACAUGUUUCUGACAUU